rnacentral:rRNA from 1 species
AUAACGAUGCGAGAGCUUUUAGCUUUUCGUAAUCGGAAUGGGUACACUUUAAAUCCUUUAACGAGGAUCUAUUGGAGGGCAAGUCUGGUGCCAGCAGCCGCGGUAAUUCCAGCUCCAAUAGCGUAUAUUAAAGUUGCUGCGGUUAAAAAGCUCGUAGUUGGAUCCGGGCAGUCGACGCGCGGUGCGCUUUACGGCGUUACUGCGUGCUCGUCGCCACUAUCCGGCCUUGUCUUUCAUGUUCUUUACUGAGCGUGAUCGGCGACCGGGACGUUUACUUUGAAAAAAUUAGAGUGCUUAAAGCAGGCAUAUGGCCUUGCAUAAUGGUGCAUGGAAUAAUGGAAUAGGACCUCGGUUCUAUUUUGUUGGUUUUCGGAGCUCGAGGUAAUGAUUAAGAGGAACAGACGGGGACAUUCGUAUUGCGGCGUUAGAAGUGAAAUUCUUGGAUCGUCGCAAGACGAACUACUGCGAAAGCAUUUGUCAAGAAUGUUUUCAUUAAUCAAGAACGAAAGUUAGAGGUUCGAAGGCGAUCAGAUACCGCCCUAGUUCUAACCAUAAACGAUGCCAACCAGCGAUCCGUCGGUGUUCAUUCAAUGACUCGACGGGCAGCUUCCGGGAAACCAAAGUGCUUAGGUUCCGGGGGAAGUAUGGUUGCAAAGCUGAAACUUAAAGGAAUUGACGGAAGGGCACCACCAGGAGUGGAGCCUGCGGCUUAAUUUGACCCAACACGGGAAAACUUACCCGGCCCGGACACUGUAAGGAUUGACAGAUUGAGAGCUCUUUCUUGAUUCGGUGGUUGGUGGUGCAUGGCCGUUCUUAGUUGGUGGAGCGAUUUGUCUGGUUAAUUCCGAUAACGAACGAGACUCUAGCCUGCUAAAUAGCCAACUGAUCCGCUGCGUCGGUUGCUAUAAGCUUCUUAGAGGGACAGGCGACGUUUAGUCGCACGAGAUUGGGCAAUAACAGGUCUGUGAUGCCCUUAGAUGCCCGGGGCCGCACGCGCGCUGCACUGGUUGAAGCAGCUGGCAUUACGUCUAGGUCGAAAGGCACGGAAAAUCCGCUGAAACUCAACCGUGAUUGGGAUUGAGCUUUGUAACUAUCGCUCAUGAACGAGGAAUUCCCAGUAAGCGCGAGUCAUAAGCUCGCGUUGAUUACGUCCCUGCCCUUUGUACACACCGCCCGUCGCUACUACCGAUUGAAUGAAUUAGUGAGGACUUCGGACCGGACAUCGCGGCUGUCGCAAGAUGGCUGCGGCUGGCUGGGAAGAUGUCCAAACUGGCUCAUUUAGAGGAAGUAAAAGUC